rnacentral:rRNA from 1 species
UACGGAAGGUCCGGGCGUUACCCGGAUUUAUUGGGUUUAAAGGGAGCGCAGGCUGAUUAUUAAGCGUGACGUGAAAUGUAGCCGCUCAACGGCCUAACUGCGUCGCGAACUGGUAGUCUUGAGUGAGUUCGAUGUAGGCGGAAUUCGUGGUGUAGCGGUGAAAUGCUUAGAUAUCACGAAGAACUCCGAUUGCGAAGGCAGCCUACAAGGCCUUUACUGACGCUAAAGCUCGAAGGUGCGGGUAUCGAAC